rnacentral:rRNA from 1 species
UACGUAGGGGGCAAGCGUUGUCCGGAUUCACUGGGCGUAAAGCGCGUGUAGGCGGCGCGUCAAGUCGGGUGUGAAAGCCCGGGGCUCAACCCCGGGAUGCCGCUCGAAACUGGCGCGCUUGAGGACGGAAGAGGGGAGUGGAAUUCCUGGUGUAGCGGUGAAAUGCGUAGAGAUCUGGAAGAACACCAAAGGCGAAGGCAGCGUCCUGGCAAGUCACUGACGCUCAGGUGCGAAAGCUAGGGGAGCGAACGGG